rnacentral:rRNA from 1 species
AGGACGAACGCUGGCGGCGUGCUUAACACAUGCAAGUCGAGCGGAAAGGCCCUUCGGGGUACUCGAGCGGCGAACGGGUGAGUAAUACGUGAGUAACCUGCCCCUAGCUCUGGGAUAGCUCCGGGAAACCGGGAUUAAUACCAGAUACGACCACUUUAGACAUCUGUCGUGGUGGAAAGGAUUCCGGCUAGGGAUGGGCUCGCGGCCUAUCAGCUUGUUGGUGGGGUAACGGCCUACCAAGGCGACGACGGGUAGCCGGCCUGAGAGGGCGACCGGCCACACUGGGACUGAGACACGGCCCAGACUCCUACGGGAGGCAGCAGUGGGGAAUAUUGCGCAAUGGGCGAAAGCCUGAUCCAGCAAUGCCGCGUGAGUGAUGAAGGCCUUAGGUUGUAAAGCUCUUUUACCCGGGAUGAUAAUGACAGUACCGGGAGAAUAAGCUCCGGCUAACUCCGCGCCAGCAGCCGC